rnacentral:rRNA from 1 species
UGAGGAAUAUUGGACAAUGGGCGCAAGCCUGAUCCAGCCAUGCCGCGUGCAGGAUGACGGUCCUAUGGAUUGUAAACUGCUUUUGUACAGGAAGAAACAGUUCUACGUGUAGAACCUUGACGGUACUGUAAGAAUAAGGAUCGGCUAACUCCGUGCCAGCAGCCGCGGUAAUACGGAGGAUCCAAGCGUUAUCCGGAAUCAUUGGGUUUAAAGGGUCCGUAGGCGGUUAGAUAAGUCAGUGGUGAAAGCCCAUCGCUCAACGGUGGAACGGCCAUUGAUACUGUCUGACUUGAAUUAUUGGGAAGUAACUAGAAUAUGUAGUGUAGCGGUGAAAUGCUUAGAGAUUACAUGGAAUACCAAUUGCGAAGGCAGGUUACUACUAAUGGAUUGACGCUGAUGGACGAAAGCGUGGGUAGCGAACAGGAUUAGAUACCCUAGUAGUCCCUGAGCGGGCUGGCAAGGCGCAU